GGAGGGCAUUCUUGCUACCACAUCUAUUACCCAUGUAUUUUCCAGAGAUGGUUCUGCUACUCUGACUUGCUAAGUGGGGUCCCUUUUUUUACCUUCAACUCUCCAUCUGCAUCCCUCCCACAACUCAGUUGAAAAGGAUGACUUUCCCAUAUAGAGAAGAAAUCAUUUUCAAGCAAGGGAAUCGAAGUUCUUGAAUUCCCUGAGUGUAAUUAUGAAACUAGCUCUGUUUGUGGAGGGUAAACAGUUUCCUUUAAUU
rnacentral:snRNA from 1 species